GGUCGCUUAGCUCAGUUGGUUAGAGCGUGGUGCUAAUAACGCCAAGGUCGCGCGUUCGACCCGCGUAGUGACCA